GCGGGCCUCUGUGCGCCGCGAGAGGGAGGCCGCCUGCAGCCCGGCUGCUCGGCCGCCGCGGGCCCGGCUCCGGGGGUUCAGUUUUAAUGAAGAAUCCCUGCUCCCUUCUCGCGCCCCUCCCGCUUUCUGCCCACCUCCCUGGGGUCUGGAAGGAGAGGGUCGCCCCUCCCCGCUUUGGCUGCUAAACUCUCUGGCUCUCCCCCCGGCCGCUGCCUGGGUUCUGGUGGCUUCCUUCCUCCUCCUUGUCUGUCGGAGCUCAAGGGACAAGCCCUUUCCCUGGCGCGUGCCUGGUGAAACCCUCGCACCCUUCCCCACCCCCACAAGCCUUUGGCAUGGCCUGGGAGACUCCGGGCAUCUUCAACCCAGCCAGGGACAAGGGUCCGCGGAGGGUCUGGAGCCCCUCGUGGGCCUGGUGCCCACGGAGUGCCCACCCCUGCCCUCCAGGAGCCCCUGGGAAGGCAGCACUCUGUUCAAGGAGGAAGCCAGACCCAGCUACAAGGGAGGGACCCUCGGCUGAUGCAAAGAGGCCGGAGCCCGCAUCCCAGCACCGCCCCCGCCGGCUGUCUGCUGGUUCCUUCUCCAAGGCCUUCAGAGAGGAUCCCUGAAGCUUGGCAGGGACAGACACAGGUUCUGGAGUGGGCUGGGCCUGAGUUCAAAUCCCACACUCCAGUGGGACCCUCAUCCACCGCUGAUAGGAAUGAGAAGUGGUUCGACUACUUUUGGAAAACAUUUGGCACUUUUAAAAAAGUUGAACAUACUCUUACCACGGAUCUGACCAUGGCACUCCGAGGCUUUUAUCUCCAAGAAAUGAAAUCUCCACCGGCGCAGUGGCUCAUGCCUGUAAUCCCAGCACUUUGGGAGGCUGAGGCGGGCGGAUCUCUUGAACCCAGGGGUCCAAGACCAGUCUAGGCAACAUAGUGAGACCCUGUCUUUACAAAAUAUUUAAAGACUGGACGGGCGCGGUGGCUCAUGCCUGUAAUCCCAGCACUUUGGGAAGCCGAGACGGGCGGAUCACGAGGUCAGGAAAUCGAGACCAUCCUGGCUAACACGGUGAAACCCCGUCUCUACUAAAAAUACAAAAAAUUAGCUGGGCAUGGUGGUGGGUGCCUGUAGUCCCAGCUACUCUGGAGGCUGAGGCAGGAGAAUGGCCUGAACCCGGGAGGUGGAGCUUGCAGUGAACAGAGAUCAUGCCACCGCACUCCAACCUGGGCGACAGAGCGAGAGUCUAAAAAAAAAAAACAUAUAUGUAUAUAUAUAUGCCGGGUGUGGUGGCUCACGGCUGUAACCUCAGCACUUUGGGAAGCCAAGGCAGGUGAAUCACCUGAGGUCAGGAGUUCAAGACCAGCCUGGCCAACACGGUGAAACCCCAUCUCUACAAAAAAUACAAAAAUUAGCCAGGCAUGGUGGUGCAUGCCUGUAAUCCCAGCUACUUGGGAGGCAGAGACAGGAGAAUCGCUUGAAUCUGGGAGGCGGAGGUUGCAGUGAACCGAGAUCAUGCCACUGCACUCCAGCCUGGGCAGCAAGGGCGAAACUCCGUCUCAAUUAAAAAAAAAAAAAAAAAGAAUUAGCCAGGCAUGGUGGUGCACACCUGUAGUCCCAGCUACUCAGGAGGCCGAGGUGAGAGGAUCGCUUGAGCCAGGGAGGUUGAGGCCGCAGUGAGCCAAAAUUACGCCACUGUACUCCAGCCUGGGCGACAGAGCGAGACCAUGUCUCAAAAAAAAAAAAGAAAGAAAAGAAAAGAAAAGAAAAGAAAGAAAAAGAAAACAAUGAAACUCACCUCCACACAGAGCCUUGCACAUGAGUGUUCACAGCAGCUUUAUUUGUAAAAGGCGGAAACUGGAGACAGCACAGUGUUGCUCCGUCCCGCAGGCAAAGGGAGCAACAGGUUGUGGCACAUCCGUCCCAUGGAAGGCGACUCACCAACAGGAACGACCGUGCACACAGCACCACAGCACCAUGACCAGGAGAGGAGCCGGAACAACCGUGCACACAGCACCACAGCACCAUGACUGGGAGAGGAGCCGGCAGCCACCAGCAAGGCAUGGGGGAUUGUGUCGGUGUGAAGUCCCGGAAGAUGCGUGCGAGUCGGUAAUGACAGAAAGCAGCUCUGUGGUUGCCUGGGGAUGCUGGGGUCCAGGAAGGACUACAAAUUGGCAAUGGGAAACUUUUUCUUUCUUUUCUUUUCUUUUUUUUUUUUUUUAAGACAGGGUCUCACUGUCGCCCAUGCUGGAGUGCAGUAGCGCAGUCAUAGCUCACUGUGACACCUUCAUCUCCUGGCUUCAGGUCUCAGCCUCCCAAGUAGCUGGGAUCAUAGACACAUGCCACCAUGCUUGGCUAAUUUUUGUAUGUAUGUAUGUAUGUAUGUAUUUAUUUAUUUAUUGUAGAGACAGGGUCUCUCUGUGUUGCCCAGGCUGGUCUCAAACUCCUGGUCUCAGAUGAUCCUCCUACCUUGGCCUCCCAAAGCACUGAGAUUACAGGUGUGAGCCACUGUGCCCAGCCAGCAUGAGGAAACUUUUGUUGGGACAGGAGGCAGUGGGGUGGGGUGGGGGUGGGUGUGUUCACCGUCUUGAUGGUAGUGAUGGUUUUAGGGGUGUGCUGCACCUGUGCCAAAGCUCAUCAAGCUGUGCGAUUUAAAUAUGUGCAGGUAUCCAGUGUCCAUUAUGCCUCAAUACAUUGAAAAAGCAAAUUCCUGCUCUACCAUGUUGAUGUUGGGUGGGUCACCUCAUUUCUCACUCAUGACAAUGGAAGAAGGAUGGUACCAGCCUCCUGGGUUGGUUCUGAGAAUUCAGUUACACAGUGUUGGUAAAUUGUUCGGCUCCAUCCUGGGCAAAUCAUGGGUGCCUGAUCCAGGGCAGAUAACAGGACUGUAGGACUGCAGGACUGCAAGACAAAGCUGCUUCAGCUCGACCUCCACCACUCCUUCAUGGCCUCCCAUCAGAAGGGGAGCCCCUGCUCCGUGCCAGGCCUGGCCACUCCCUGGGUUAAUAAGGGGGGAACAAGCCCUAACUCCAUCCUCGUGGGCUGGCUGGGGUGACAGAGACAAACAGUGACAAUUACAACCUAGGGAAGAGCGUUCCAGGCACGUGCAAAGGGCCUGUGCUGGUGGGACUACGGCACAUUCCCGAAUCCACAGGAAGGGCCUUUGUGGCUGAAGUGGGGGCAGCAUGCAGGGCACAGACUGGCCCUGCAGCUUCUUGUGGGACCUGCUCAGGGGUGAGCACGGGGCCUUGUGAGGGUGCCAAGCCCCUGAAUGCGGCUUGGAGGAGGCUGUGGCGUUGGCUCUGUGUUGGUGGAAAUUCCAGCUUCCCUCUUCACUGCCAUUUACUUCCUGUAAGCCUCAGAUUCCCUGUCUGGUGAAUGGGGGUAAGGACCCCCAAUGAGAUCUGACACAGAGCUCGGUGUUUGGAGGUCUGGGUUAUGUCCACCUCCC
rnacentral:lncRNA from 1 species